CUGCUGUGAUGAUUUUACUUGUGACUGACCUGGAAUUGCCGGCCUCUGGGUUGGCUCUGGCCAGGGAAUGACGUCAGUCAAUCUUCUCUCUGAGCAG